UACGGAGGGUGCGAGCGUUGUCCGGAAUCACUGGGCGUAAAGGCGCGUAGGCGGUCCGGUAAGCGUGUGGUGAAAGCCCGGGGCUCAACCCCGGGUCGGCCGUGCGAACUGCGGGACUGGAGCACUGUAGAGGCAGGCGGAAUUCCGGGUGUAGCGGUGGAAUGCGUAGAGAUCCGGAAGAACACCGGUGGCGAAGGCGGCCUGCUGGGCAGUAGCUGACGCUGAGGCGCGACAGCGUGGGGAGCAAACAGGAUU
rnacentral:rRNA from 1 species